CCUACGGGUGGCAGCAGUGAGGAAUAUUGGUCAAUGGGCGGAAGCCUGAACCAGCCAAGUCGCGUGAGGGAUUAAGGCCCUAUGGGUCGUAAACCUCUUUUGUCAGGGAGCAAGGUCGUCCACGUGUGGGCGUAUGGAGAGUACCUGAAGAAAAAGCAUCGGCUAACUCCUUGCCAGCAGCCGCGGUAAUACGGGGGAUGCGAGCGUUAUCCGGAUUUAUUGGGUUUAAAGGGUGCGUAGGCGGUACCUUAAGUCAGCGGUAAACUUGCGGUGCUCAACGCCGUAGAGCCGUUGAAACUGGGGCUCUUGAGUGAGCGAGAAGUAUGCGGAAUGCGUGGUGUAGCGGUGAAAUGCAUAGAUAUCAGGAGGAAUACCGUUAGCGAAGGCGGCAAUCUGGCUGGAAACUGACGCUGAGGUGCGAAAGCGUGGGUAGCAAACAGGAUUAGAUACCCGAGUAGUC
rnacentral:rRNA from 1 species